GAGUUGGAUUUAUUUUUGUCAAAAAAACAGAGAGGAAAAGAAAAGAUAGAAGAAUAUAUGAUUUUGAUUAUACAGUUAAAAAAUUAAAUCGGGAAUAUAGCUGUCACCUCAAAUUUUUUAAUUUUUACCAAGGGUUUUUGGAUUUGGGUUCAAACUAAAAUAAACUCUUUCCUCAAAAAAUUUGACCUAAAACUUCCUCCCACCUCACCGCCAUAUCGACGACGAUUUCCCCCUUGCCCCAAAUCGAUCGAUAGCUAGCAGUUACCGAUACCCUAAAUCGACGGCAUUUUCCAUCAGCUGUGCAUACGCACAGCAGCAGCAAGCCAAAAUUCGUUUCAACUUUCAAGUUCAAAUAACUGAGCGCGCUUGAUGCGGUGAUGUGAUCGUUGCGAUGCGAUGUGAGGGUCUAUGGGUAACAUAAGUGUGGGGCAAUGCGACCUACAUGUUGCAUGCGCGCAUCCAAGCGUAUCCAACACAUCACGCUUUGGCGCAUCAUGGUCUGGUCUAAUUAUGGGAAUAGUUUCUACAGAAUCAAAAAUCCCCAUGCAUUUUGCAUUCUGGUUAACUAAUUACCAUUAGAUUCAAGUGUAUGAUUGUUACAUUUGGUUUCAUUUUAUAUCUUUAUGGGUUUUUAGCACAUUGAUAAACAUAUAUUGGUAAUUACUACUUGUGCGCCACACCUACUUGUUGUCCGCGCAUUCGCAUCGAGCAUCGACCUCGAGGACCCUAAUCACAUUAGCGUGCAUUGUCUUAUUGUCAUUUGAAUGACCCACAAGUCCUUCCCACAACUUGUAGAGGCUCGAGCCACGAUCUAUCUUAACUUAUCUCUUCUAUCUUUCAUUUUUUAAGCUAUGGAUUUCACUAGUCAUUUGAGGAAAGUUAAAAGGGAAAGAAAAAAAAGUAAGUGAAGAAGAAACAAUGGAAAAAAUAUCAAAAAGGAAAAACGACAAAGAGGAAAAACCAGACUCAAAAAAGAGAAAAGCAGUAGUUUUAAGUACAGAAAAAAAACUUGUCGAUGAAAAUGAAGAUUCCGAUUUUGAAACAAGGGAGAAAAAGAGAAAAAAGAAAAAGCAAAUAAAGAAGCAUUUUGAUACAUUGAGAAACAGGUGCUCCCCUGGAGCUUUGCUAUCGGUAAUUCAAGGUUUCAAUGAAGUUCAAAAAGAUUGUGUAGAAGAUAUCGGUUUUGGAGAUCUUUUGAAAAUGAAGAUGACAGAGGUGCCAGGGGCACUAAGUUGCUUUGUUCUUGAGAAGUUUGAUUCGACAACAAAGAAAAUUAUUCUUCAAAGAGGCAAGAUUGAUGUGACUAGAGAAUCAGUCCAUCAAAUCCUUGGAUUUCCAUUAGGAAGGAAAAAGUUUUCGGAACUUCCAUUAAGAACAAUAGAGGAUAAUACUUAUGAGGAAUGGACACAACAAUUUGAAAACAAGAGCAUGAUUCGACUUCAGGAGAUAAAAAUGAAGAUUGUUUCAUCCAACAAAGCGGAUAUGAAUUUCAAAAUGAAUUUUUUAGCUUUGUUGAUCAACUCUUUGAUUGAAUCAAGCUCUUCAGGAAAAGCAAAUACUUCCCCACUAAAGUACAUCAUGGAGGAUACCAAGAUAAGCAACAUCGAUUGGUGUUCAUAUUUGAUAGAUUGUUUGGUUAAAACCAAACAAUCUUAUGAUCCAUCCAGUUCGACAAGCAAUUUUGUUGGACCAUCUGCUUAUUUAGUGUUGGUUUAUGUAGAUAGUGUCCAUUCUGAGGUCAUUCAAGUUGAAAGAACACGUCCAGUGAUCUGUCACUGGACGUCAGAGAAGAUGAAACUGAGAGAAAGUUAUGAAAAAGAAGAGUUGGGUGAUUUUGGUACUGGAGAGUUUAAUGAAGAGUUUGUUGAAAGAGAUUUGAAUGAGGAGGAUUAUGAAGAAAUGGUUCUGGUGAAGUAUAGAAAGUUACGUAUGUUAACCGAAAAGGGAAUCGAUAAAUUUCCUGAAAAUAUCACAUUGAAUCAUUUGAAAGUCCAUUUGGAUACCAUUUUUGAUGAUGAGAAUGAAUAUGAUAAUAAAGAAAAGGAAAAUGAUAAUGUUGAAGGUAGUAAUGAAGAUGAUGAAGAGUAUAAUGAUGGUAUUGAAGGUGGUUAGAAUGUUGAAGUUAGUCAGGAUGAUGAGGUGUGGAGGGAAAAAAUAUAGAUGAAUGACAUGGUAAAAACGGUUAUGAUGAUAAAGAAGAAGAGUAUGUUGAAGGAAGAGCUUUGGAGAGAAAGAAUAUAGAUGAAAGAGCAGAUAAAAAUGUUGAUAAUAAUGAAAAAGAACAGAAUGUUGAAAGAGGAGGUUUAGAGGGAAGAAUGUUGGUGAAGGAGAAGAUAUUUAACGCUAUUUUGUGUUAAAAAUUGUUUAUGUGUCAAUUAUUUUAAAGUCUUUUGCAUGUAAUUUGUACAUUUUAAAGUCUUUUUGGAUGUAAUUCAUAAUUAGAUAUGAUUAAUACAAAUUAUAAUUAACUCUUUCUUGAA